CGGUUGAUCCUGCCGGAGGCCACUGCUAUCGGGGUCCGACUAAGCCAUGCGAGUCAAGGGGCGCUUGCGCGCACCGGCGUACGGCUCAGUAACACGUCGGUAACCUACCCUCGGGAGGGGGACAACCCCGGGAAACUGGGGCUAAUCCCCCAUAGGCUUGGGGUACUGGAAAGUCCCCAAGCCGAAAGCUCCGGCGCCCGAGGAUGGGCCGGCGGCCGAUUAGGUAGUUGGUGGGGUAACGGCCCACCAAGCCGACAAUCGGUACGGGCAGUGAGAGCUGGAGCCCGGAGAUGGACACUGAGACACGGGUCCAGGCCCUACGGGGCGCAGCAGGCGCGAAACCUCCGCAAUGCGGGAAACCGCGACGGGGGGACCCCGAGUGCCGUGGCACAGCCACGGCUUUUCCGGAGUGCAAGGAGCUCCGGGAAUAAGGGCUGGGCAAGGCCGGUGGCAGCCGCCGCGGUAAUACCGGCGGCCCAAGUGGUGGCCACUAUUAUUGGGCCUAAAGCGUCCGUAGCCGGGCCUGUAAGUCCCUGGCGAAAUCCCACGGCUCAACCGUGGGGCUUGCUGGGGAUACUGCAGGCCUUGGGACCGGGAGAGGCCGGGGGUACCCCUGGGGUAGGGGUGAAAU
rnacentral:rRNA from 1 species